UUUAGGAGGGAAAACUAUUUUGCUUUAAUUCCCUUCUUCAUCUUAAUAACCUUCCUUAUUUACUGUGUUCAAUUUUUUUACAAACCCUAAAUGUCUUCGUCUCCAUCACGCAUCUCCUCUAUUCGCAAGAUGUUUUUAUUCAAUUGCAAGAGAUCUUUAAAGCAAUUGUUUGGUAUUAAAGAUGAAAACGCCUUUGUUCCAAAAACCAAAUCAACUCCUUGGACUGAGUUCUGACAUUCCGCAUUGGCGCGUUUGAAGGCUUGAAAUAUGUUUUGCGUUUGUGAUUUCUGAUUGUUGCGACGUUCAUAGUCUUGAUUGUGAGUAGUUAUUUUUGCGAAUUUUUUGGAACUGUUCACCCAUAAACGGGUUGAUUGGAUUAUCUAGAGGUGUAUAAUAGUUUUGUAUUUAGUUUGCUUACAGACUGAUGGGUGCAUUGAUAUAUUGAUAAUGAAACGGAUCUUACAACUUA